ensembl:lncRNA
CACCUUAACAACUUUGCAGCUACUUGAUGGCAUUUCCACUAUUAUUGUUGCCUAGGUAUCUACCAUCCCAUAAACAAAUUAAGGCUGUGGUCCAGCAUCAGAGAAUGUCCACUCCAAAUUCCACAGAGGAUGACAACAAAGCCCUUCACUGAGGAAGAGAGAAGUUGGAAAGGUUUCAUGAACAGGAUAAGUCUUUUGAAGGUUCUAACAAGAUGCAUUGGUGACAGUAGAUUUCAGUCCACACAACCAAAGUUCCUCGUAAAAGACCUCAUUGUAUUCCUAAAUCUGUAGCUCUCAAAAUAGACUUAAGUCACUCUGCCCAAGAAAGAAAAGGAGAAUUGUGUCACUUGUAAACCGUGUAAUGAAGUCUUGAUUCGUGUAGUACAGAAUCAUCAUUUAGCUGUGUCCUCUUGAGAAUCAAACUGAAGAAUGCAUUGGGCUUCUUAAGUUCUAGACAGCCAAGCAAAGCUAUUAAUCUUGGAGAACACUGUAACAGGAACACAUGAAUAGGUCAAAUGAAUCAUACAUCAUUUUUUGAACAAGCAUCUUCUACCUACUGCUUCUCAUCCCCCCAGGAAUUGCUGGUUGCAUGGGGAAUAGCCUGAAGGUAGAGUGUAAUAAAUACGUUGGGUUGUGUUUGCUCUGCAACCCCAUAUGGACAUUGAGAGUGCACACUAAGAGUUUCUUUGUAUAAAGUGGAUUCCUCAAGUGAAUGUUAAAUUACACAUGUGGGGAGCAGCCAGCAUGGUGUAAAUUCACACUGUAGCUUGUAAAUUCACACCCUACCUUCCUUGUAUAAGCAAAGCCAUGGUCAAGGCUUUACAUUCAUUCUGCUGGCAUAAACCUGAAUGAAUAGAUGAACCUUACACCUUGCCCUGAAGGUAAACACAUUUGGGCUAAUGUGAUGCUUAAUGGAAGGAGUGCUUUCAGAAUCCAGGCCAUAGACAUAGAAAGUCUAGGGAGAAUUAAUAAAAAUACUUGAGGAAUUCUCAGUGGCCAUAAUGUCAGAGGGAGAAGAUUAUCUAGCAGACCUGAAAUACAUGAGCAUGAAAUACAUGCUCGCUGAAAUAUAUGCACA